GAUGAAGAACGUAGCGAAAUGCGAUACGUAAUGUGAAUUGCAGAAUUCAGUGAAUCAUCGAGUCUUUGAACGCACAUUGCGCCCCCUGGUAUUCCGGGGGGCAUGCCUGUCCGAGCGUCAUUGCUGCCCUCAAGCACGGCUUGUGUGUUGGGCCUCCGUCCUCCUCCCGGGGGACGGGCCCGAAAGGCAGCGGCGGCACCGCGUCCGGUCCUCGAGCGUAUGGGGCUUCGUCACCCGCUCUUGUAGGCCCGGCCGGCGCUUGCCGACACAUCAAUCUUUUUUCCAGGUUGACCUCGGAUCAGGUAGGGAUACCCGCUGAACUUAAGCAUAUCAAUAAGCAGGAGGA
rnacentral:misc_RNA from 1 species